rnacentral:rRNA from 1 species
GGGGAAUAUUGGACAAUGGGCGCAAGCCUGAUCCAGCCAUGCCGCGUGGGUGAAGAAGGCCUUCGGGUUGUAAAGCCCUUUUGUUGGGAAAGAAAAGCAGCCGGCCAAUACCCGGUUGUUCUGACGGUACACAAAGAAUAAGCACCGGCUAACUUCGUGCCAGCAGCCGCGGUAAUACGGAGGAUCCGAGCGUUAUCCGGAUUUAUUGGGUUUAAAGGGUGCGCAGGUGGUUUGAUAAGUCAGCGGUGAAAGUUUGCAGCUUAACUGUAAAAAUGCCGUUGAAACUGUCGGACUUGAGUGUAAAUGAGGUAGGCGGAAUGUGUGGUGUAGCGGUGAAAUGCAUAGAUAUCACGCAGAACUCCGAUUGCGAAGGCAGCUUACUAAGCUACAACUGACACUGAAGCACGAAAGCGUGGGGAUCAAACA